UCAUUUUUUCAAUCAAUGAUCUGAAGUCAAGGAUCUGAAGUCAAGUGGGAUUGGGAUUACCAA
rnacentral:rRNA from 1 species